AUUGAACGCUGGCGGCAUGCCUUACACAUGCAAGUCGAACGGUAACAGGUCUUCGGAUGCUGACGAUUGGCGCACGGGUGAGUAAUACAUCGGAACGUGCCCGAUCGUCGGGUAUAACGCAGCUACAGCUGUGCUAAUACCGCAUACGAUCUACGGAUGAACGCGGGGGAUCGCAAGACCUCGCUCGGACGGAGCUGCUGAUGGCUGAUUAGGUAGUUGUUGUGAUAAAACCUUACCUAGCCGACGAUCUGUAUCUGGUCUGAGAGAACGACCAGCUACACUGGGACUGAGAAAAGGCCCAGACUCCAAAGGGAGGCAGAAGUGGGGAAUUGUGGACAAUGGGGGAAAGAAUGAUCCAGCCAGGCCGCGUGCAGGAUGAAGGCCUUCGGGUUGUAAAAUGCGUUUGUACGGAACGAAAAGGCUCUGGCUAAUACAGGGGGUGAAUGACGGUACCGUAAGAAUAAGCACCGGCUAACUACGUG
rnacentral:rRNA from 1 species